CAAUAGCGUAUAUUAAAGUUGUUGCAGUUAAAAAGCUCGUAGUUGGAUUUCUGGUAGGAGUGACCGUUCCGAACUUGAUUGUUCGUGUAUUGUGUUUUCUCCAGCCAUCCUUGUGGAGAACUUUUCUUGCAUUAAUUUGUAGGGAUUGGGACCCGCAUCGUUUACUGUGAAAAAUUAGAGUGUUUAAAGCAGGCAAUCGCUUGAAUACAUUAGCAUGGAAUAAUAAGAUAGGACUUUGGUACUAUUUUGUUGGUUUGCAUACCAAAUUAAUGAUCAACAGGAACAGUUUGAGGAUAUUCGUAUGAACAUGUCAGAGGUGAAAUUCUUGGAUUUUGAUCAGACGAACUACUGCGAAAGCAUUUAUCAAGGAUGUUUUCAUUAA
rnacentral:rRNA from 1 species